UGGGGAAUUUUGGACAAUGGGCGAAAGCCUGAUCCAGCAAUGCCGCGUGUGUGAAGAAGGCCUUCGGGUUGUAAAGCACUUUUGUCCGGGAAAGAAAUCCUUGGCUCUAAUACAGUCGGGGGGAUGACGGUACCGGAAGAAUAAGCACCGGCUAACUACGUGCCAGCAGCCGCGGUAAUACGUAGGGUGCAAGCGUUAAUCGGAAUUACUGGGCGUAAAGCGUGCGCAGGCGGUUUGCUAAGACCGAUGUGAAAUCCCGGGCUCAACUGGGAACUGCAUUGGUGACUGGCAGGCUAGAGUAUGGCAGAGGGGGGUAGAAUUCCACGUGUAGCAGUGAAAUGCGUAGAGAUGUGGAGGAAUACCGAUGGCGAAGGCAGCCCCCUGGGGCCAAUACUGACGCUCAUGCACGAAAGCGUGGGGAGCAAACAGGAUUAGAUACCCUGGUAGUCCACGCCCUAAACGAUGUCAACUAGUUGUUGGGGAUUCAUUUCCUUAGUAACGUAGCUAACGCGUGAAGUUGACCGCCUGGGGGAGCACGGUCGCAAGAUUAAAACUUAAAGGAAUUGACGGGGUC
rnacentral:rRNA from 1 species